CCUGGGUGGCAGCAGUGGGGAAUAUUGGACAAUGGGCGAAAGCCUGAUCCAGCCAUGCCGCGUGUGUGAAGAAGGCCUUCGGGUUGUAAAGCACUUUCAGUGGGGAAGAAAGCCUUGGGGCUAAUACCCUCGAGGAAGGACAUCACCCACAGAAGAAGCACCGGCUAACUCCGUGCCAGCAGCCGCGGUAAUACGGAGGGUGCGAGCGUUAAUCGGAAUUACUGGGCGUAAAGCGCGCGUAGGCGGUCUGAUAAGCCGGUUGUGAAAGCCCCGGGCUCAACCUGGGAACGACAUCCGGAACUGUCAGGCUAGAGUGCAGGAGAGGAAGGUAGAAUUCCCGGUGUAGCGGUGAAAUGCGUAGAGAUCGGGAGGAAUACCAGUGGCGAAGGCGGCCUUCUGGACUGACACUGACGCUGAGGUGCGAAAGCGUGGGUAGCAAACAGGAUUAGAUACCCCAGUAGUC
rnacentral:rRNA from 1 species